rnacentral:rRNA from 1 species
UACGAAGGGGGCUAGCGUUGCUCGGAAUUACUGGGCGUAAAGGGCGCGUAGGCGGCACUGUUAGUCAGGCGUGAAAUCCCGGGGCUCAACCCCGGAACUGCCUUUGAUACUGGGUAUCUCGAGUCCGGAAGAGGUGAGUGGAAUUCCGAGUGUAGAGGUGAAAUUCGUAGAUAUUCGGAGGAACACCAGUGGCGAAGGCGGCUCACUGGUCCGGUACUGACGCUGAGGUGCGAAAGCGUGGGGAGCAAACAGG